AACGAACGCUGGCGGCAGGCCUAACACAUGCAAGUCGAGCGGACCUUUCGGGGUCAGCGGCGGACGGGUGAGUAACGCGUGGGAAUAUGCCCUUCUCUACGGAAUAGUCCUGGGAAACUGGGGGUAAUACCGUAUACGCCCCUUGGGGGAAAGAUUUAUCGGGGAAGGAUUAGCCCGCGUUGGAUUAGGUAGUUGGUGGGGUAAUGGCCUACCAAGCCGACGAUCCAUAGCUGGUUUGAGAGGAUGAUCAGCCACACUGGGACUGAGACACGGCCCAGACUCCUACGGGAGGCAGCAGUGGGGAAUCUUAGACAAUGGGGGCAACCCUGAUCUAGCCAUGCCGCGUGAGUGAUGAAGGCCUUAGGGUUGUAAAGCUCUUUCAGCUGGGAAGAUAAUGACGGUACCAGCAGAAGAAGCCCCGGCUAACUCCGU
rnacentral:rRNA from 1 species